UGACAGGGUUCUGCUAACAGGAUCUUUAUUCCUACAGCCUGUAACCUUUUCAUAUAUUAGGGUUUUUACCGUGCAAGAAAGAAGAUGCAAGGAAGUUUACCUGUUGGUACUAAUUUUUAAAUUGCUUCCUUUUCCAUCUCUAAGGGAGAAGAGGGCUUUCUUAGUACGGUAAUUAGCUUGCCCUCUUGAACACUGAAUGGAAGCUGCCGUAUGGGUUAGAAAUUUUGCCUCUGUAUCUCUAAUUCCAGAUGGGUACAUGAAUUUGCACUGGGAAUUGAGUAGUUCAAUGUCUUUUCCCUGAAUAAGAAAUGACCCCCACUUGUAACCCAUUUUUCUCUCCUUCCAAAUGCCAGUCUCCUAUUCAAAAGUCACUCUUUUUUAUCAAGUAAUUUAAAAUACAGUGGGACCCCACAUAAGUUGCUUGAGAACAGUAAGUAGUUUUAAAUUUGCUUUUUGAAUAGGACCCAGCAGCAGCUUACUUAAUACUGUCUGAGCUAUUACAAACUAAAGAAUGGGGGUGAUGUUAAGUUAUUUAAUUUGACAAGCUAUUUUGAUAUGUGGAUGUCAAGACAUAAACUAUCAGUUUGCUGUUUAAAAUGAAGAGAGCAAUGUGCCUACACCACUUAAAAAGCUAAAAAUAUUAGAAACUCUCCCCACCUCAUAUUCCCCCCCUAAUUUAGUUUCUCAUUAAUCCUCCCCACUUCAUAUCCACAGACACCCCUCCUGAUUUAGUUUCUUGCAAUAAUCCUCUUGCUUCUCUGACUAGUCAGCUUUUAUUAUGGAAGGGAUAGGCUAGCAGGGGAACCCUGGGAUGUCUGUGCUGGCAGCACUGCGGGUGGAUUACUCACUCUUUUUCUGUCUUCAUUUUUGCAUGCCACCGCUGCUGCCCUCUUACAGCCACAGUAGAAGCAGUAGAGGCCCGGGAAGCCAUCAGAGGGUUUUCGCUUCAGCACAAGAUCCGGAGUUUUGAAGAAGCCCGAGGUCUGGACCGAAUUAAUGAGCGCAUGCCACCCCGAAAAGAUGGCAUACACCCUGAUGGGCCAGUGAAAUCGGUAACCCCUGUACAUACAAAUGCUACGCACAGGAGUGACCAGGGGAAGAAAGCCCAGUAAUGACUCAAGGUCCUGCUGUGGCCCAGGCGGAUCUAAAACUUAGAACAAAUUUUAUUUAUUUAUUACUGGAAAAUGAAACAAAAACAACUCAAACAACUUAAACCUGGAGGUGCAUUCAUAAUUCAGUCUGCAUUUAUUCUGUAAGAAAGGUGACCAUUUUAUAAAUUCUUUUAAUUAUGUUCAGUAUAUGUGUAUACAAAUUGCAUCUGUUUUGUUUUUCCCCUUUUCCCCAUAAUUUUUAGGAACUCAUCUGAUUGUUGUCAAUACACAUGUGAACUCUUGUGCUAUAAAGGGGAAGUUCCUCUAAUAAAAGGGCCUUGGAAACCUCAACCCUGGGUUUCAUGAACUAGUCAGCCUUUACUCUUGUUUUUGGAAGGUAAUACUGUAUCUUUCAUUUAAGACUAAUAACUUUUCAAACGCAAGAGGGCUCUUCUCGUUUUCAUUUUUUUCCUUCCUGCUGGGUAGCAUUGAAGAAAAGCCGCUUAGAUUUCAGUGGCUAAAAUUGCUUCUCUUCUGAUGAAAAACUUGAUUAUAGUAGAACUUCUAAGUUAAUAACCCAAACCCAGUGAUUUUAAGGACUGAGGGGAAAUAUUUUCCAUAAUAACCCACUUUCUUCUCGAUUCUCAAUUCCUUUAAUAUGUUCUAGUAAAGCAAAAUUAAAAAUAAUGAGGGAUUUUCUUAGAGUUACUUAUAAUUUGCCCACCUAACUGUGGGCAUGAUUAGUUUAAACUUCCCUUAAAACUUUGGAGAAGAAAGAUUUUCAAAAAGUUUUAACUGUUGCCAGAUUCUUUUGCUUUCAUUUUGAACCCCAGGUGACCUACCCCAUCUGCAAAGGAAGUUUCAUUUCUAAAUAUUUUAUAAAUGCCCUCAGCAGAGCCUUCAGCAGUAAGAAAUAUUUAUGCCCGUCUAUACUAUUGCAUUAGCUCUAUUUUCUCCAUCGUCCUUCUGUUUUUCCCUGUCAGUAUUCUGAAACUGACUGAGGUAAUAGAAACUGAUGAGGGUGGGAUGAUCCCCUUGUGAAUUGAAAGUCUUGCUAAAGGGCAUUGAAUGAGUGAGGAUUUCCUGUCUUCUACAUCAAGAGAUGUUUCUCCAUCUUUCAACACUCACUAGGUUGAAUUGUAUGUCAACCUCCAUUAGCAUAUUUUGAAGUACAAAAACAAGUGUUCAGAUAUAAUGCUAGAAUAAUCUUCCCUUAGCUUGUUUUCCAGGUCACAACCAACUAGUGAAAGAAAUUUAGAGGAUAUUUAGGCUGCUAUUUUUGGUUUACCCUGAUCACAGCAGUCCUGUCGUAGUACUCACUGGUCAGCUCUACAAUGAUUAUGCAUGUCUGGGCACACUACAUCAAAGCACGGAAAAUGUAAAUUUAUGGAAUUUCUUAAUGUCAUUUGGGAUGUGGGAGUCCAACAUUGAAAUAAGUAUCUCAGACAGAAGAAUUUCAUGUUGGGAACUUCAGGGAAACCAGAAAAACAAAAAACAACAUAAUUUUGUUUUUUCAAAAACCCAUAAUUUUCAUUAGAAGAAUGAAGACUUAGCCCAUCUAUCUCUGUUUUCUUGUACCUUUUGCUAACAGUUCCUGAUUUGUUUAUGACAGAGAUCGAAGCAUUUUGGCAAUCUGCCUGCAUGGAUUGCUCUGUUAAUAAAAAGAUUAGAAGGAUAUUGUGGACAGAGAUAAAGGAUCUCUUACUGCAUUGAAGUAAAACCUGUGAAAAAAGGGAAAAAA